rnacentral:rRNA from 1 species
UUGACGCUAGCGGCAUGCUUUACACAUGCAAGUCGAACGGCAGCGCGGGGCAACCUGGCGGCGAGUGGCGAACGGGUGAGUAAUACAUCGCGAACGUGCCCUGUGAUGGGGGAUAACUACGCGAAAGCGUAGCUAAUACCGCAUACGACCUAAGGGUGAAAGUGGGGGAUCGAAANACCUCACGUCAUAGGGAGCGGCCGAUGGCGGAUUAUCUAGUUGGUGAGGUAAAGGCUUACCAAGGCGACGAUCCGUAGCUGGUCUGAGAGGACGACCAGCCACACUGGGACUGAGACACGGCCCAGACUCCUACGGGAGGCAGCAGUGGGGAAUCUUGGACAAUGGGGGCAACCCUGAUCCAGCAAUGCCGCGUGUGGGAUGAAGGCCUUCGGGUUGUAAACCACUUUUGGCGGGGGCGAAAUAUCGAGUGAUAAUACCNUUCGGUGAUGACAGUACCCGCAGAAUAAGCACCGGCUAACUACGUGCCANCAGCCGCGGUAAUACGUAGGGUGCAAGCGUUAAUCGGAAUUACUGGGCGUAAAGCGUGCGCAGG